GAUGAACGCUGGCGGCGUGCCUAAUACAUGCGAGUCGAGCGAACAGACGAGGAGCUUGCUCCUCUGACGUUAGCGGCGGACGGGUGAGUAAAACGUGGAUAACCUACCUAUAAGACUGGGAUAACUUCGGGAAACCGGAGCUAAUACCGGAUAAUAUAUUGAACCGCAUGGUUCAAUAGUGAAAGACGGUUUUGCUGUCACUUAUAGAUGGAUCCGCGCCGCAUUAGCUAGUUGGUAAGGUAACGGCUUACCAAGGCAACGAUGCGUAGCCGACCUGAGAGGGUGAUCGGCCACACUGGAACUGAGACACGGUCCAGACUCCUACGGGAGGCAGCAGUAGGGAAUCUUCCGCAAUGGGCGAAAGCCUGACGGAGCAACGCCGCGUGAGUGAUGAAGGUCUUCGGAUCGUAAAACUCUGUUAUUAGGGAAGAACAAAUGUGUAAGUAACUAUGCACGUCUUGACGGUACCUAAUCAGAAAGCCACGGCUAACUACGUG
rnacentral:rRNA from 1 species